rnacentral:rRNA from 1 species
UCUAGUGUUUAAAUUCAAUUGGAAACACUUCAAUCCUUUUCGAAUUUGAAAGUUAAGCAGUUGAAAGGUUUUUAUACUACAGAGGAUGCUUUGUGGAAAAAAUACCUAAUGCUAGAAG